AGGUCCCAGAGGCUGGGGAUUCCUCAUGGAGCACAGUGAAGGAAAAAACAAGCAUCAGAUCCACUAAUGAAGCAGUUAUGGAGAUGCAAAUAGCCUGAGAACGGAUCUACUUGUCGGUUAUUCUACCGGAGAACUGGAAUAUUGAAUGCAGUGAAAGAUCAUAAUGAGAGUUCUCAGCCUUUGUCUGGUCUGAUCAAUUGGUUGCAGGUUGUGCCCAUUGCUGGGUUAUCUGUUGGUUCUUGGGUCAUACACGUGAAGGCAUUGACUCUUUUCUGCAAAGCUGCCAGUUGGCAAUGAAUUGGAAAGCCAUCCUACAUCUCUAUCAGAUCAACCUCUCGGUCCUCUUUUGCUGAAUUCUGAACUGUUCCCAGCCUUCAGACUUGGUGCUAUAAUCAAACAACUUUAUAUGACUC